UUAGCCUCAGGGUCAUUCUGUAGUGAGUCCAUGUGGGGAGUUCAGAGCAAGUAUUCUGGCGAACAAGCUGGAAGCCAUGCUGCCUUCUGUGAUCUAGCCUCCGAAGUUAUACAGCAUCUCUCCCAUCCCCGUAACUUGUUGGUUCCAAGUGAGUCACAAGCCUGCCUAGAGUCAAGGGCGAGGGAGGACAGAGACUGAAUUUCUUGCUGGAUGAGGAAAUGAAGACCGACGGAAGCUAUCUCUUGAGCUCGUCAUGCAGCUGGCGAAGGGUGGAGCAGGGCUUCAAAUGCAGACCUUUCCAACUCCAUUGUCCCUGCUCUCCUGCGUGCCCUUUCCUGCCUUUUCUCAAGGGAGACCAUGAGAUCAAGAAAAAAGAUUUUCUUCUCCACGGCAACUGAAGUGUUGACUUUGACAGUGAAAGCUACAGAGUGUAUGAUGUUUCCCUUUUUGCCUUGCUUGCCAGGAAGCUUGUGCUUUUUGUCAAACUGCUUACUUCCCCUUUCCAUGGUUUUGGUCUUCUACCUUUGACAGACUUUUAUUCAUAAGUCUUACUGUAAGCUGUUCUACUCAUAGAAUAAGCUGAAUAAAUAGAAAUUGAAUUGAAUGGAAAAGGAUGGGUUACAAAUUACAAGUAAAUAAUUCAUUUUAUAUUUAAUUUAAUUUAUUUAUUUACUUUUGAGAUGGAAUACUGCUGUCACCCAGGCUGGAGUGCAAUGUCGUGAUCUCACUGCAACCUGCGCCUCCUGAGUUUAAGUGAUUCUCCCGCCUCAGCCUCCCAAGUAGCUGGGAUUACAGGUGCCCAUGCCUGGCUAAUUUUUGUAUUUUUAGUAGAGAUGGGGUUUCACCAUGUUGGCCAGGCUGGUCUCGAACUCCUGACCUCAGGUGAUCCAUCCGCCUUGGCCUCCCGAGUGCUGGGAUUACAGAUGUGAGCCACUGUGCCCGGCCUGCAAGUAAAUAAUUCAAAUAAAAUCACGAGCUUCAGGAAAGAAAAAUGCCUUUCUUAUAUCGGGCCAUUGCCACAGUGUUUAGCCCUGAGCCCUGGUUCUGGCUGGGUGAAGUUUGCAUGGAAAGCCCAGUGGUGAUUUUCCCUGUUGUGUCUGGAUCAGUGGCUCUCCUUGCACCUAGAAUAUAACUCAAAGGCCUUCCCUUUGGAUUAGAGCAGCAGUCCCCGACCUUUUUGGCACCAGGGAUCAGUUUCAUGGAAGACAAUUUUUCCACAUACUGGGUGGGAAACUGUUUCUCCUCACAUCAUCAGGCAUUAGUUAGAGUCUCAUAAGGAACAGGCAACCUAGAUCUCUCUCAUGCACAGUUCACAGUAGGACUCAUCCUCCUGUGAGUAUCUAAUGCUGCCGCUGAUGUGACAGGAGGUGGAGCUCAGGUGGUAAUUCUCCAUCACCCGCUGCUCACCUCCUGCUGUGUGGCCCUGGUCCAAGGCCCAGGGAUUGGGGACCCCGGGAUUAGAGGACUGACCCCUGCCCACCUCUUCCACCUUAUCCUGUGUAACUUGUCCCCUUGCUCACCCAGGAUAACUACUGGAGUCAUCUUUGAGAUGUUCUCACAAGCCAGGUUCUUUCCCUGCUUCAGAAAAGAGGCUUUGUGGCUGGGCGUGGUGGCUCACACCUGUAAUCCCAGCACUUUGGGAGGCCGAGGCAGGCGAACCACCUGAGGUCAGGAGUUCGAGACCAGCCUGACCAACAUAGAGAAACCCGGUCUUUACUAAAAAUACAAAAUUAGCUGGGAGUAGUGGCACAAGCCUGUAAUACCAGCUACUCGGGGAGGCUGAGGCAGGAGAAUCACUUGAACCCGGGAGGCAGAGGUGGUGGUGAGCUGAGAUCAUGCCAUUGCUCUCCAGCCUGGGCAACAAGAGCAAAAACUACGUCUCAAAAAAAAAAAAAAAAAAGAAAAAGAGGCUUUGCAUGUGCCGUUCCCUCUGCCUGGAGCCCUCUGCUCUCUCCCAUCCCCUGCUUCUGCCUGGCUCAUCAUUCCUACGCUUCAAAUUUCUGCUGAAAGUCAGCAUCUUAGGGAGGCCUCCCCUGACUGCUCUGUUUAAAGGGGUUGUGGUAGCUGGUCUGCAAAGACAACUCCCAGUGCUUCCUGGCCUCUCCUGUGUAUGCUGCUGUUCCCAUCAAGAAACAGACUCUAUUUCUCCUCCUCCUGGAAGUGGGCCGGGCGUUGGGCCUGGCUUUGGCCAAUGGAAUGUGGCAGAGGUAAUUUACUGAGGCUUCCGAGGUGAGGCCUUCAGAUGACUGGCAGCUUCUCCUUCCUGCCACCUGGAACCCAGCUGGUAUGCUGUGGGAAGCCCAUAUCACAUAGAGAGACACAGCGGGAGAAAUGGGGUGUUCAGCUCAACAGCCCAGUUGAACCCCCAGCCAACAGUCAGCAUGGAUUCCAGCCAUGUGCGUGAGCCAGCCUGGGUGCUGCAGCCCAGGUGAGCCCCUGAAUGACUGCAGGCCCAGCUAACAUCAUACGGAACAGAAGAACCACCCAACUGAGCCCACAGAACUGUGGGAGAUAAUAAAAUGGUAUUGCUGUUUUAAGCCACU
rnacentral:lncRNA from 1 species